rnacentral:rRNA from 1 species
UAGUCAUAUGCUUGUCUCAAAGAUUAAGCCAUGCAUGUCUAAGUAUAAAUCUUUAUACGGUGAAACUGCGAAUGGCUCAUUAAAUCAGUUAUAAUUUAUUUGAUAGUACCUUACUACUUGGAUAACCGUGGUAAUUCUAGAGCUAAUACAUGCAUCAAGGCCCGACUUUUUGAAGGGCUGUAUUUAUUAGGUAAAAACCAAUGCUCUUCGGAGCUUUCUGGUGAUUCAUAAUAACUUCUCGGAUCGUAUGACUUUGUGUCGACGACGUAUCAUUCAAAUUUCUGCCCUAUCAACUUUUGAUGGUAGGAUAGGGGCCUACCAUGGUGAUAACGGGUAACGGAGAAUUAGGGUUCGAUUCCGGAGAGGGAGCCUGAGAAAUGGCUACCACAUCCAAGAAAGGCAGCAGGCGCGCAAAUUACCCAAUCCUGACACAGGGAGGUAGUGACAAAAAAUAACAAUGCAGGGCCUUUUGGUCGCUGCAAUUGGAAUGAGUACAAUUUAAACCACUUAACGAGUAUCCAUU